rnacentral:rRNA from 1 species
UACGGAGGGGGCGAGCGUUAUUCGGAAUUACUGGGCGUAAAGCGCGCGCAGGUGGCGUGGCAAGUGGCAGGUGAAAGCCCUCGGCUCAACCGAGGAAUUGCCUGCCAAACUACCGCGCUUGAGGCCGGGAGGGGGAAGCGGAAUUCCUGGUGUAGCGGUGAAAUGCGUAGAUACCAGGAGGAACACCGGUGGCGAAGGCGGCUUCCUGGACCGGUUCUGACACUCAUGCGCGAAAGCGUGGGGAG